rnacentral:rRNA from 1 species
CAACGUGGGGAACCUGCCCCAUAGUCUGGGAUACCACUUGGAAACAGGUGCUAAUACCGGAUAAGAAAGCGGAUCGCAUGAUCAGCUUUUAAAAGGCGGCGUAAGCUGUCGCUAUGGGAUGGCCCCGCGGUGCAUUAGCUAGUUGGUAAGGUAAAGGCUUACCAAGGCGAUGAUGCAUAGCCGAGUUGAGAGACUGAUCGGCCACAUUGGGACUGAGACACGGCCCAAACUCCUACGGGAGGCAGCAGAG